AGGAAUCUGCCUGGUAGUGGGGGACAACGUUUCGAAAGGAACGCUAAUACCGCAUACGUCCUACGGGAGAAAGCAGGGGACCUUCGGGCCUUGCGCUAUCAGAUGAGCCUAGGUCGGAUUAGCUAGUUGGUGGGGUAAUGGCUCACCAAGGCGACGAUCCGUAACUGGUCUGAGAGGAUGAUCAGUCACACUGGAACUGAGACACGGUCCAGACUCCUACGGGAGGCAGCAGUGGGGAAUAUUGGACAAUGGGCGAAAGCCUGAUCCAGCCAUGCCGCGUGUGUGAAGAAGGUCUUCGGAUUGUAAAGCACUUUAAGUUGGGAGGAAGGGCAGUAAGUUAAUACCUUGCUGUUUUGACGUUACCGACAGAAUAAGCACCGGCUAACUCUGUGCCASCAGCCGCGGUAAUACAGAGGGUGCAAGCGUUAWUCGGAAUUACUGGGCGUAAAGCGCGCGUAGGUGGUUCGUUAAGUUGGAUGUGAAAGCCCCGGGCUCAACCUGGGAACUGCAUCCAAAACUGGCGAGCUAGAGUACGGUAGAGGGUGGUGGAAUUUCCUGUGUAGCGGUGAAAUGCGUAGAUAUAGGAAGGAACACCAGUGGCGAAGGCGACCACCUGGACUGAUACUGACACUGAGGUGCGAAAGCGUGGGGAGCAAACAGGAUUAGAUACCUGGUAGUCCACGCCGUAAACGAUGUCAACUAGCCGUUGGAAUCCUUGAGAUUUUAGUGG
rnacentral:rRNA from 1 species